rnacentral:rRNA from 1 species
GACGAACGCUGGCGGCGUGCUUAACACAUGCAAGUCGAACGGAAAGGCCCCCAUCUUGGUGGGGGUGCUCGAGUGGCGAACGGGUGAGUAACACGUGGUUGAUCUGCCCUGUACUUCGGGAUAAGCUUGGGAAACUGGGUCUAAUACCGGAUAGGACCAUGGUUUAGUGUCUCAUGGUGGAAAGAUUAUUGUUUUGGUGCAGGAUGAGCUCGCGGCCUAUCAGCUUGUUGGUGGGGUAAUGGCCUACCAAGGCGUCGACGGGUAGCCGGCCUGAGAGGGUGGACGGCCACAUUGGGACUGAGAUACGGCCCAGACUCCUACGGGAGGCAGCAGUGGGGAAUAUUGCACAAUGGGCGCAAGCCUGAUGCAGCGACGCCGCGUGGGGGAUGACGGCCUUCGGGUUGUAAACUCCUUUCGUUAGGGACGAAGCCACGCUUGUUGGGUGUGGUGACGGUACCUUUGUUAAGAAGCACCGGCUAACUACGUG